rnacentral:lncRNA from 1 species
UUGCUGGGCUUGAGACAGAGCAUCCUCUACUUGCUUGAGUUCGGCCAGCAGGGCUUCUCUUUUUGCCGAUAGAUCAGAGACUUUCUGCUUCAGUGCAUCACCUGACGACUUUAAGGUGCCGAUGUUCUUAUGCUUCUCAUCGGCUAAGAGUUUUUCUUUCAUCAUCUCCUCAGAGAGCUGGAUUUGAGCAGCUCUAUCGGCAAGGCGCCGAGUGGCUCUCUGGUACU